rnacentral:rRNA from 2 species
GGUUAAGCGACUAAGCGUACACGGUGGAUGCCCUGGCAGUCAGAGGCGAUGAAGGACGUGCUAAUCUGCGAUAAGCGCCGGUAAGGUGAUAUGAACCGUUAUAACCGGCGAUUUCCGAAUGGGGAAACCCAGUGUGACUCGUCACACUAUCAUUAACUGAAUCCAUAGGUUAAUGAGGCGAACCGGGGGAACUGAAACAUCUAAGUACCCCGAGGAAAAGAAAUCAACCGAGAUUCCCCCAGUAGCGGCGAGCGAACGGGGAGGAGCCCAGAGCCUGAAUCAGCAUGUGUGUUAGUGGAAGCGUCUGGAAAGGCGCGCGAUACAGGGUGACAGCCCCGUACACAAAAGCGCAUGUGCUGUGAGCUCGAUGAGUAGGGCGGGACACGUGGUAUCCUGUCUGAAUAUGGGGGGACCAUCCUCCAAGGCUAAAUACUCCUGACUGACCGAUAGUGAACCAGUACCGUGAGGGAAAGGCGAAAAGAACCCCGGCGAGGGGAGUGAAAAAGAACCUGAAACCGUG